rnacentral:rRNA from 1 species
CCUACGGGAGGCAGCAGUGGGGAAUCUUGCGCAAUGGGCGAAAGCCUGACGCAGCCAUGCCGCGUGAAUGAUGAAGGUCUUAGGAUUGUAAAAUUCUUUCAGUAGGGACGAUAAUGACGGUACCUACAGAAGAAGCCCCGGCUAACUUCGUGCCAGCAGCCGCGGUAAUACGAAGGGGGCUAGCGUUGCUCGGAAUUACUGGGCGUAAAGGGAGCGUAGGCGGGUUAUCAAGUUGGAGGUGAAAGCCCAGGGCUCAACCUUGGAAUUGCCUUCAAAACUGAUAGCCUAGAGUAUGAUAGAGGUAAGUGGAACUCCGAGUGUAGAGGUGAAAUUCGUAGAUAUUCGGAAGAACACCAGUGGCGAAGGCGACUUACUGGAUCAUGACUGACGCUGAGGCUCGAAAGCGUGGGGAGCAAACAGGAUUAGAUACCCUGGUAGCCCACGCUGUAAACGAUGAUUGCUAGUUGUCGGACGGCAUGCCGUUCGGUGACGCNGCUACGACAUAGACACUCCGCCGUGGGAGGUACGGUCGCGAAGAAUAAACUAACAAUAGAAGUUAGACGGCGUGAGACGUGCCGACGGACGACGACGAGGGAGGUAGG